AUUUUAAGUUGUUCUCUUUUUUUUUUUUCAAAUCAUAUCUUCAUUGUUUUAGUUUCUAUAUUUUGUUUUUGGUCUUUUGUAAAAUUGAUUAUUUUUCAAUUUCAUUCUUUAAUAUAGAGUUGGUUAAGAAUUGAGCUUCUUCCUUUUUCCCGAUAUGGUGAUCUAAAUCUUAAGAUCUAGGUCACGGGUUUAAAAGGUUUAUCUAGGCUGACAUUGAUUUUUUUUUAGGGUUGAUUUUUUUCACUGAUUUUCUUUUUCAAAUUUAUCAUUUGACAUUCAAUUUUAAUUUAUUUUAUUUUGUUUUGACCAUCAACAUUGGGUUCGUUUUAUAAUUGAGUUUCUAGUGAUGAAACAUCACCUUCUACAGCUGCGUGGGAAAAUUCACAAUGAUAUCUUCUAUGUCUUGGGCGGAGUGUGUGACAUGAAGACCAAUAGUUUAUCGCCAACAAUACUUUCUUUUUUCUUUUUCAUAAUGAUCUAUCUAUAAUUUAGAGUUGAUCCUCAUUUUUUUAAUUGUUAUUUUUAUAUAUAUAUAUAAUUUGUUUCUUUCAAUUUCAACCUUUAAUCUAAAAUUUUAAGUUGUUCUCUUUUUUUUUUCCAAAUCAUAUCUUCAUUGUUUUAGUUUCUAUAUUUUGUUUUUGUUCUUUUGUAAAAUUGAUUAUUUUUCAAUUUCAUUCUUUAAUAUAGAGUUGGUUAAGAAUUGAGCUUCUUCCUUUUUCCCGAUAUGGUGAUCUAAAUCUUAAGAUCUAGGUCACGAGUUUAAAAGGUUUAUCUAGGCUGACAUUGAUUUUUUUUUAGGGUUGAUUUUUUUCACUGAUUUUCUUUUUCAAAUUUAUCAUUUGACAUUCAAUUUUAAUUUAUUUUAUUUUGUUUUGACCAUCAACAUUGGGUUCGUUUUAUAAUUGAGUUUCAUAUUUUUUUCUCAUUUCUAGGUGACGGGGUUUGGUAAGUUUACCCGAGUUUGCAAGGUUUUUUUAUUUAUUUUGUUAAUUGAUUUUUUUUUUCAAUUUCACCAUUUUAAAUUGAAUUUGUUAGAAAUUGGGCUAUGUGAGUUGGUUUCUUUUGAUCUUUUUUUCAUUUUCUUUAUUUUUGCAUUGUGUUGGUUAUGAAUUGAACUUUAUUAUUUUUUUUCUUUUGACAAGCAUUCACAUUUUUUAUUUAAUUUGAUAGAUUUAUUAUUGUUGCUUUUUUUCAUCUAAUUAAAUAAUACCAACUUAUUUGAUCUAAUAGACCCGAAUCACACCCGAAUAACGAAUUAUUCAAACUUCUUGAAAACACAUUUACAUGAUUUAAGCAUUUUUUUACACUAAGAAAAAAAUUUGUUCUAACCCGCAGCAUAUAGUGCAUACUAUUGGAAAAAGUGAACUAGAUAGUGUUUUCGGAUUAAAUGGCAGAGUUGAUCAAGGCAUAAAGGCAAUAUUAGAAGGCUAGGGUUAGGUUACUUGUAAAACUGUUUUAUUAAAGAAUUGUUUCAAUUAAAAAAAAAUUAAACUCUUGUAUUAGAUUUCAUUAAUAAUUUAUUUUAUUUUUCAAAACAUUUUUAAAAAAUCAAAACUCUCUCUAUGUAAAACUUGCAUGGUUCUACCCUUACUUAUUUGAUUAUUAAAAUUUUAAUACCAUAUCAAGACUAUUUAAAUCAAAAGGCUCAAUUUGAUAAAUAAGAUUCCAUGAUUGUUUUUAUAUUAUUUUAUGAUAUGUUUUAAUUCAUUGCUUAAAAACACUCUUUCGUGGAUUUGGGCACCAAAAUCUGAGCCCCUCGCAUGAUUACAUGAUGUUUGGUGAUUGCUAAAUUCAAAUAUUAAUUAAGAAAUUAAAGAUUAAAAAUGUUUUCUAAUGAAAAACAAGAUUUCCGAAGAUUUUACAAUUUAACAAGGUCAAAAGAUCCCCAGUUGUCUUUUGCAUGAAAGUUAAUGGAUAGUUAGUCAUAUGUUGGGCCGGUUUGCACCAUUCGGCCCAUUAUGGGUUUUGGCAGCGCGUCACUUGGGCUAGCAUGUGAAUUGGGCCCGUGCAGGCUCAUUCUCGGCAUAACAUGAGAUUUAUUAAGACAGAUUUUGCAUAUUUAAAGAUAAAUAUACUAUUAAGUGAUUGUGUAUUCGAUGGUUUAUUUUAAUAAAAUAAUUAAAUUUUGGUCUCAAUCACUACACCAUAUUUGAUUAAUAUAUAGUAUGAAAAGCUUAUCCCAGGACUCAAAAGCCUCUAAUGAACUAAAAAAAUGAGAAAUAUAUUAUUUACUUAUUUAAUUUUUUAUUAAUUCUAUAUAUAAAAAUCUUAGAAUCAAGAACAUAUUUAGCAUGUCAUGCCCAAACCAUUGCUUUAGACCGCAAUUUUAUAUAUAAGAACAUACGAUUUACACUACAAAUAUAGAUCGAUGAUAUGUUUUAAGCUAUUUAAAUAAUUAUCAGUAUGAUAUGAUACAAUUUAAUAUUAUUAAAUAAUAUGAGAUAAUAAUCAAGGACCCAAUUUAAUAUGAUUUUAUU
rnacentral:lncRNA from 1 species